rnacentral:rRNA from 1 species
GAUGAACGCUGGCGGCGUGCCUAAUACAUGCAAGUCGAGCGAACAGACGAGGAGCUUGCUCCUCUGACGUUAGCGGCGGACGGGUGAGUAACACGUGGAUAACCUACCUAUAAGACUGGGAUAACUUCGGGAAACCGGAGCUAAUACCGGAUAAUAUAUUGAACCGCAUGGUUCAAUAGUGAAAGACGGUUUUGCUGUCACUUAUAGAUGGAUCCGCGCCGCAUUAGCUAGUUGGUAAGGUAACGGCUUACCAAGGCGACGAUGCGUAGCCGACCUGAGAGGGUGAUCGGCCACACUGGAACUGAGACACGGUCCAGACUCCUACGGGAGGCAGCAGUAGGGAAUCUUCCGCAAUGGGCGAAAGCCUGACGGAGCAACGCCGCGGGAGUGAUGAAGGUCUUCUGAUCGUAAAGCUCUGUUAUUAGGGGAGAACAAAUGUGUAAGUAACUAUGCACGUCUUGACGGUACCUAGUCAAAAAGCCACGGCUAACUACGUG